GCCUAGGUGGCUCAGUGGUUGAGCACCUGUCUUUGGCUCAGGUGGUGAUUCCAGGGUCCCGGGAUCGAGUCCCACAUUGGGCU
rnacentral:tRNA from 1 species